rnacentral:lncRNA from 1 species
AAACAAAUGCUUACAUAUUUGCAUUUACAACCAUAUACCCAUCAUCAACAUGCACACCAUCCCAUCAUCAUCAUCAUGCACACCAUCCCAUCAUCAUCAUCUCAUAUGCAACGGCUUAUGCGCAUAUAGCAGGGUCAGCAACGGCUUAUGUGCACUCCCACUCACACAUAGUCGGGUCAGCAACGACUUAUGUGCACUCCUACUGGCACAUAGUCGGGUCAGCAACGGCUUAUGUGCACUCUUACUCGCACAUAGCCGGGUCAGCAACGACUUAUGUGCACUCCUACUCGCACAUAACCGGGUCCAAAUCAACAUGCAAAGAAGC